rnacentral:rRNA from 1 species
CCUACGGGAGGCAGCAGUGAGGAAUAUUGGUCAAUGGACGAGAGUCUGAACCAGCCAAGUAGCGUGAAGGAUGACUGCCCUAUGGGUUGUAAACUUCUUUUAUAUGGGAAUAAAACGUUCCACGUGUGGGAUUUUGUAUGUACCAUAUGAAUAAGGAUCGGCUAACUCCGUGCCAGCAGCCGCGGUAAUACGGAGGAUCCGAGCGUUAUCCGGAUUUAUUGGGUUUAAAGGGAGCGUAGGUGGAUUGUUAAGUCAGUUGUGAAAGUUUGCGGCUCAACCAUAAAAUUGCAGUUGAAACUGGCAGUCUUGAGUACAGUAGAGGUGGGCGGAAUUCGUGGUGUAGCGGUGAAAUGCUUAGAUAUCACGAAGAACUCCGAUUGCGAAGGCAGUUCACUGGACUGCAACUGACACUGAGGCUCGAAAGUGUGGGUAUCAAACAGGAUUAGAUACCCGUGUAGUC